UGCAGUGAGCUUUUGAUUCUUCUCUCAAUCCGCGGGAAAAAGAGAGCUGAAAGUCCCAUGGAAAAUCGAUCGCGUUCUGUAUACGAUGCUAUCUCUCUUCGGAAUUCUUCAUCGCUAUCCAAGCUUUGAGUUGUUGCUGCUUGUUCGGAAUCAUCAAUGGCGGUUUCUUGAUUUGGAGGCUGGAUCAUUUACUUUAUUCAUGCGAGAAAUUUAAUCGAGAAAUCAAUAUCUGGAAUACUUGCUCAUUAUCGUUUGAAACUUUGACGAAAGCUCUGGCUGUUGUUGGUUGGCCACCUCGAAAAUGGGUGUGAAGUAAAGGCAUCGUUUAUAUUUGUCAUUUGAAUCUACAAUUGGAGAUUGGGAUUCCUCAGCAACUUUCUGAUGAGAUAUAGCACUGAGGACUUAAAUAGCACAGCAAGAGUUGGAGUACCUGUGACAUUCUUGCAUGUAAUGCAGUUGUUGCUUCAAACCAGCUGCCUCUCUUUUCCAAAACUAACAAUUGUAGAACAGAUGGUCAGCGUUACAGUAUUACUUGUGGCAUAGGUUCGACCUAUUCUUACACACAAGAAUAGGUCUUUCUAUAAGAUGAUUUACGAGAAUACAAACGACGUUUGUAUUCUAUGGUUGAGGAUCAGUGAUUAUGGUCAAUGUAUAAACUUCUG